rnacentral:rRNA from 1 species
UAGUCCACGCCGUAAACGAUGGACACUAGUUGUUGGGAUUUAUCUCAGUGACUAAGCGAAAGUGAUAAGUGUCCCACCUGGGGAGUACGGUCGCAAGAUUGAAACUCAAAGGAAUUGACGGGGCCCGCACAAGCGGUGGAGCAUGUGGUUUAAUUCGAUGAUACGCGAGGAACCUUACCAGGGCUUAAAUGUGGUCUGACAGCUUUAGAGAUAGAGUUUUCUUCGGACAGAUCACAAGGUGCUGCAUGGUUGUCGUCAGCUCGUGCCGUGAGGUGUCAGGUUAAGUCCUAUAACGAGCGCAACCCCUACCGUUAGUUGCCAGCAUUUAAAGAUGGGGACUCUAACGGGACUGCCGGUGCAAACCGUGAGGAAGGUGGGGAUGGACGUCAAAUCAUCACGGGCCCUUACGUCCUGGGGCUACACACGUGCUACAAUGGUAUGGGGACAAUGAGCAGCCACUAUGCAAAU